CGCGGGGUGGAGCAGUCUGGUAGCUCGUCGGGCUCAUAACCCGAAGGUCGCAGGUUCAAAUCCUGCCCCCGCCACCA
rnacentral:tRNA from 18 species